ACCAUCAAAUUACUUAUUCAAGUUUAUAAUGGAGUGAAAUAUUUGACACUACCCUUGUACAAGGUCAAAUUGUUCUCCAGAACUAUUGCUAUUAUUACAGAAAUUUUAAAGAAAGCGUUAUGAAAAUAAAAAUCCAGAAGAGUGUUCUUCAAUAUGCACAAUCAGGAAAAAAUUACUCCUUCGAAUCAGAUACUGACCACUCACAAAUUGCCUUUAUGCUGAAGGAUCCACCCCCCCAAAAUGGCUACUCAAGAGUCAUUACUGAAGUAGUGCACGAAUCCACCUGGAACAUUGCUUGUGAGUUUUGAGACUCCCAGGGCUAAUUCAGUGGGUUGCUCAUCUGAUUGCUUCAAUAUUAAACACACAGUUUGGCUCCUGCUACUGCUAUAGAAGACCAUUUCUGUUUGACUCCUGACAAAUGAGUAAUCACAUGGAGGUAGACAAUUCUCUUGUCUGGUAAGAUAUAAUUCUUUUUCAUUUCUUUCUAAGGAUCCUAGAAUGAAUCAUCCCUCUCUCUUCUCAUUACACUUAUAAAACUGUUAUUUUCUUUUUACACAAAAUGGGACCUUAGUUGUCAUCAAAACCUUACUAUUGUACUGAUGUAUUUAAGAAAUUUAUUUCUACACUAUUCAGUUCCUGAGUCUAACUAACAGAUUAAUUUGAAUGAAAAAGGCUUAUGAUCUGUAGCUGAUGAAGUUACAAGACCCAAUACUUUAUUGUUUGACACAAAUGAUAGUCAAAUAAAAACCAUACAGAAAAGGGAUAAACUAUUAUCAGAACAGAUUUUUUUGGGGGAAUGCAAGUGAGCACAUGGGAUGAGAUUCAGCAGUCAUAGGUCUCCCAUGUUAGUAGAUUUCAUGUCUGCAGGCAGAUUCUAGAUGACUAAUAGUAUUUUAUUAAAUGUACUUUCACUGAGCUUGUGAUUAUUUUGUAAAGGUAUUUUAAAAUAUAUUUUAUGUGUAAUAGGGACUUCAGAAUGUUACUUAACAGUCUCCACACCUCCUUUACUCUUACUUUUCCAGGAUAAUUAUUUUUUACCUGGUUUUGUAAUGUCAAUAAUAUUUCUUUUUCUGAAUGAUACAAAACUGUCAUAAUUCAGAAUGUGAAUCUACUUAUAUUGCAUUUGUUUCAUUUAAAUUAUAUUUUUAAAUUUUUUAAUCCUUUCUGCUGCUCUGUGUAAAUUUGCUAUACAUUGAAAAGUAUGUAAUUUCACAGUGAAACCAUUUUUAUCCAGUUAACUGUAGAUCAAUUUUGCUGAUUUCAGUUAAAUGAAAAUAAUAUUUUAAUUUUAUCUGGCUUUUUCAAGCAAUGUUUCAAUGCCACUCGAAUAUGAAAUUAAGAACUGAGUGUUGCUUAUAUGUAGAUUCUAAAUGGCUGUUUAGCUACAGAUUUUUUUGCCCGUGAGAACCUUUCAAAAUGGGUCCUCAAAGGUCAGUUUCAAGGGUACUAGGGACCCAAAACAAGACUCAGGAAGUUUCAAAAAAAUAUGUGUAUGGUUUUAAGUGUGGGUCCAGGCCCUUCGCCAAAUACACAUGGUUCCAUUUUUUGAGUGAUUCUGAAAAGCAGUAGAAGUGUUCUUGACAUUUCAUUCCUCUUCUUGCAGCAGUCAUGGGCCUGGGGAUGAUGUGGCCCUGAAUUUGUCAGUUUCAAGUCUGUUUUAUAUGCAUAUUCCAAAAGGUUCUUGGGGUGAUGCCUUAUGGUGAAUAUGGGGCAGAUAAGUCUGUUUGGGCUAUUCUGUACAGCUGAAUACCAUAUGCUGCAGGUGGCUUUGAUGUGUAUGGAACUGAUCAAUAGGGACUUUAGGACUCAUUUUAAGUCAUAUAGAGUGUAAUGGAUUUAAACUGUAUGGGCUGCUUGCCAAGGAACAUGCAUUAUCCUCCCUGUGAACCUGCUCUCUGCUGAGCAGUGCAAAUGUACACUACAGCCAGGAUUACUAUGUAAAGAAAUCUUUGCUUAGUAUCUGACUAUAUGUAAAAAUGUUUAAAAUUCAGUGUUCAUGUGCAGCCUGAAAUGUUCUUCUUAUUAUAAUUUCUUCUUUUUGUGCAUACCCAGAACUGCUCAGGCUAAGAUCAUCCACCUACACCUUAUUGGGAUCUAGAAUGUAGGAACUCAAUGAAGUUGAAUUAAGCAUAUAAUAAAAUGCUGCUGAAUCUGC